rnacentral:rRNA from 1 species
UACGGGGGGGGCAAGCGUUGUUCGGAAUUACUGGGCGUAAAGGGCUCGUAGGCGGCCAACUAAGUCGGAUGUGAAAUCCCCAGGCUCAACUUGGGAACUGCAUCCGAUACUGGAUGGCUUGAAUUCGGGAGAGGGAUGCAGAAUUCCUGGUGUAGCGGUGAAAUGCGCAGAUAUCAGGAGGAACACCGAUGGCGAAGGCAGGUCUCUGGGCCACUACUGACGCUGAGAAGCGAAAGCAUGGGGAGCGAACAGG